rnacentral:rRNA from 1 species
AUUGAACGCUGGCGGCAGGCCUAACACAUGCAAGUCGAGCGAGCGGCGGACGGGUGAGUAAUGUAUGGGGAUCUGCCCGAUGGAGGGGGAUAACUACUGGAAACGGUAGCUAAUACCGCAUACUAUCAGAUGAGCCCAUAUGGGAUUAGCGAGUAGGUGGGGUAAUGGCUAACCUAGGCGACGAUCCCUAGCUGGUCUGAGAGGAUGACCAGCCACACUGGAACUGAGACACGGACCAGACUCCUACGGGAGGAAGCAGUGGGGAAUAUUGCACAAUGGGCGCAAGCCUGAUGCAGCCAGGCCGCGUGUGUGAAGAAGGCCUUAGGGUUGUAAAGCACUUUCAGCGGGGAGGCGUUACCCGCAGAAGAAGCACCGGCUAACUCCGUGCCAGCAGCCGCGGUAAUAC